UACGUAGGGUGCAAGCGUUGUCCGGAAUUAUUGGGCGUAAAGAGCUCGUAGGCGGUUUGUCGCGUCUGCUGUGAAAACUGGAGGCUCAACCUCCAGCCUGCAGUGGGUACGGGCAGACUAGAGUGCGGUAGGGGAGAUUGGAAUUCCUGGUGUAGCGGUGGAAUGCGCAGAUAUCAGCAGGAACACCCGUGGCGAAGGCGGCCACCUGGGCCUAACCUGACGCUGAGGCGCGAAGGCUAGGGGAGCGAACGGG
rnacentral:rRNA from 1 species